AUUGAACGCUGGCGGCAGGCCUAACACAUGCAAGUCGAGCGGUAGAGAGGUGCUUGCAUCUCUUGAGAGCGGCGGACGGGUGAGUAAUGCCUAGGAAUCUGCCUAGUGGUGGGGGAUAACGUUCGGAAACGGACGCUAAUACCGCAUACGUCCUACGGGAGAAAGCGGGGGAUCUUCGGACCUCGCGCCAUUAGAUGAGCCUAGGUCGGAUUAGCUAGUUGGUGAGGUAAUGGCUCACCAAGGCGACGAUCCGUAACUGGUCUGAGAGGAUGAUCAGUCACACUGGAACUGAGACACGGUCCAGACUCCUACGGGAGGCAGCAGUGGGGAAUAUUGGACAAUGGGCGAAAGCCUGAUCCACGCAUGCCGCGUGUGUAGAAGGAAGGUU
rnacentral:rRNA from 1 species